rnacentral:snRNA from 1 species
ACCACUUCUCAGACUUUUGACUAAGAUCAAGUGUAGUAUCUGUUCUUAUCAGUUUAAUAUCUGAUAUAUCCUCUAGCCAAAGACAAUAUAGUAAAUGAAUUUUUGGAGCAGGCAGAGCGAAUAGGAACUUGUUCUAUCCACUCCAUACAUCGACCUGGUAUUGCAGUACCUCCAGGAACAGUGCACCCCUC